rnacentral:rRNA from 1 species
CCUACGGGCGGCAGCAGUGAGGAAUAUUGGUCAAUGGACGAGAGUCUGAACCAGCCAAGUAGCGUGAAGGAUGACUGCCCUAUGGGUUGUAAACUUCUUUUAUAUGGGAAUAAAAUGUUCCACGUGUGGGCUUUUGUAUGUACCAUAUGAAUAAGGAUCGGCUAACUCCGUGCCAGCAGCAGCGGUAAUACGGUGGAUCCGAGCGUUAUCCGGAUUUAUGUGGUUUAAAGGGAGCGUCGGUGGAUUGUUAAGUCAGUUGUGAAAGUUUGCGGCUCAACCGUAAAAUUGCAGUUGAAACUGGCAGUCUUGAGUACAGUAGAGGUGGGCGGAAUUCGUGGUGUAGCGGUGAAAUGCUUAGAUAUCACGAAGAACUCCGAUUGCGAAGGCAGCUCACUGGACUGCAACUGACACUGAGGCUCGAAAGUGUGGGUAUCAAACAGGAUUAGAUACCCCAGUAGUC